rnacentral:misc_RNA from 1 species
GAUGAAGAACGUAGUAAAAUGCGAUACUUGGUGUGAAUUGCAGAAUCCCGUGAACCAUCGAGUUUUUGAACGCAAGUUGCGCCCGAAGCCUUUUGGCCGAGGGCACGUCUGCCUGGGCGUCACGCAUCGCGUCGCCCCCCACAAUUCUCCGUAAAGGGAACAUGUGUUUUGGGGGCGGAUAUUGGUCUCCCGUGCUCAUGGCGUGGUUGGCCGAAAUAGGAGUCCUUUCGAUGGACGCACGAACUAGUGGUGGUCGUAAAAACCCUCGUCUUUUGUUUCGUGCUGUUGCUCGCAAGGUAAACUCUUUAAAAACCCCAAUGUGUCGUCUCUUGACGACGCUUCGACCGCGACCCCAGGUCAGGCGGGACUACCCGCUGAGUUUAAGCAUAUCAAUAAGCGGAGGU